rnacentral:rRNA from 1 species
AAACGACUCUCGGCAACGGAUAUCUCGGCUCUCACAUCGAUGAAGAACGUAGCGAAAUGCGAUACUUGGUGUGAAUUGCAGAAUCCCGUGAACCAUCGAGUCUUUGAACGCAAGUUGCGCCCCAAGCCUUCUGGCCGAGGGCACGUCUGCCUGG